rnacentral:rRNA from 1 species
UACGUAGGUGGCAAGCGUUGUCCGGAUUUACUGGGCGUAAAGAGCGCGCAGGCGGUCGUUCAAGUCGCGUGUGAAAGCCCCCGGCUCAACCGAGGAAGUGCAGUCGAAACUGACUAGCUAGAGGACGGCAGAGGAAGGUGGAAUUCCAAGUGUAGAGGUGAAAUUCGUAGAUAUCGAGAAGAACACCGGUGGCGAAGGCGGCCAUCUGGACAGAUACUGACGCUGGAGAACGCGAAAGCGUGGGGAG